CAAGCUGCUGAGGGUGAUGUAUGAAUGCUUUGGUCCAGGCACUGUCUCUGUUUGGGAUGCAAAACAGAUCUGUGUGUGCAUAUGCUUUCAUCUGCAGCUGACAGUGCAAAACAGAGCACUGCUAAGUGGCAGAAGUGUUUACUUAGUGGUUUCUCUGGCAAAUCUUCGCUUCACCUGAUGGCGUAUCCCCUUGUAAGAACAGACUGGAGAUUUGCUUGGUUGAUUUAUUGAUUAUUGAAAGCAGUGCUUUACUGCUGACUUUCCCAAAAGACUGCAGUGUUUGAUUUCAACUCUCCCUUGAUAUCGCAAGAUAUUAUCAAGGCAAAAGAACAAAGUACUACAGACAGUACAAAACUGAAGUUCAAUGGAGGAAUUCACUGCCAUUUGCCUGAUGCUUUUCCAGACAGUGCAAGAGGGUCAUCCACUGGGCCUGCAUCAGUCAUUUCGAACCUGCUGAAGAGUCUGUCUCCUUCUUUCUUACAACCCUGCUUUUACAUACUGAAAGGCCACUCUCAGGUCUCUCCAGGGCCUUGUCUUCUCCAAGCUGAAGAGCCCCACCUCUCAGCCUGUCCUCAUAGGAGAGGUAUUCCAUCCCUUGGAUCAUUUCUGUGGCCUUCCUCUGAACGCACUCGAACAGGUCUAUGUCUCUCCUGUACUCCACAUGGAGGACUCCACAUCUGGAUGCAGUACUACAGAACUUUCUGAAAGUGUGCUCAAUCAAGACACCCUGCAGAUGCUGUUUGAGGAGAGUGACAGCUACUCAGAAUGGGAAUGUUUGGGCCUGCAGAUAGCUUUUAUCACUACAGCAACUCAGAAGCACUGUGCAGUACCCGCAAUGGCUUAACAAGAAUCUGAAGAGGUGUGGGAAGUCCCUUCAUCUUUCUGCAGCACAAAGCACUAAGAUCUACAUUGGAUAUAUCUGCUCUGAACUCUCUGGCAAAGGUAUAUCUUUAUUAAUCAUCAGACUACUGUGGUUAGCUCCAGAAACACACCAGACACAAGAUCCCAGCAUGGAAUUACACUGCUCUUAUUCCUGUACAUCAGAAUUUAAGUGGAAGAGACCAGAAGAACUCACUGUGCUUCAGUGACUGAAGGUACCUGCAAUAAUUCACGUGAUCUCAAGAUACAUCCUAAGAUUCCUGAACUUCCUGGGCCUCUCUUGACUAUCUGGAAACAUUCAAAACCACUGUGAAGCAAAAUGGAUAGGUUUCAAAUAAUGAAAUGAAACUUCAGAUGUUCUGACACGUGACAGUAAUUCAUAAAGUUUCCAGACAAUUCAAAAAGGCACUACAAGAACAAAAUUCCCAUGUUCCACUUACGUACAUCAGCUCCUAGUGAAGAUUUUGUGUUCUUCUUUCACCACAGAGGUAGGAGUUCAAUUUCCUCUGUAUUUCAUAUAAAAAAUAUACAUUCACUUAGAAGAGAGGAGCACUGAGUGAGUUUUAAUGUUCUCAUUACAGCACAAUUUGGACUUUCCUUGAUUUAAGCGUUUUAAAUUCACAUUCUCUUGUAAGAAUGCUAUACCUGAGGAAAGAAGGAAAUUUCGGAGGAAGUAUCUGAAAAGAAAAAAUGAGUUUAAUUAAAUAACCAUUUGUAGGUCUUUGUGGUCUAUAUUUGAGGAGCAGAUUCUUUCUCAAGCACUAAAAGUGCACGUUGUUACAUUAAUUUAACUAAUAGGCACUAGUUAUGACAGGCUGCCUACUAAAGGUUCUAAGCCAGUGUCAUUCCUAUAGAUUUAUACACUUGGAAAUCUGCACUUUAAAUGAGAAUCUUGCCAGUGUCAAAAUUAAAUUAAACUAAAUUAAAUCAUGUGCCCUAUCACAAAGAUCUGAGAUUCUUUUCAGAAUCAGGUACAAAUUACAUGGAAUUACAAUGGAAAAGCAGUUCCAACUUCAUUAUACUCUACUAAAGUUGCUGGCAAUACAAAUGCAGGGCUAAAUCCUUAGCUGAGCAAAGUAACUGGUACUGGAGUGCCUAGAGGACAAUUACUGCCACCCUCAUGUCUUGAAUAGGUCCCAUUGUCAUGACACCCUAUGAAGAAUGGCUUCUCCAUGGACUGUUAUUAUUGUGGAGUCAAAUGCUCGUGAAAUGAUAAGCAUCCAAGGCCCAAAUGUAUCCACCAAAUUCCCACUCCCAGGGGUCAAACCACAGGCUCAGGAGGGCCUAGCAGUGAAAUGCUCUUGGGAUUUGUCUGUCCAUGUACAUGUCCAGGAGAACAAAUUGCAUGACAGGCUGUUGCGUGCCUCAUCUGAAGUACUUCAGUCAGUCAUAGGUAGUAAUGUCUUGCCUCAGAGCACACCAGUGAGACCAGCCUUGAAAGAAAGUAGAGUAAGUGGUGGCUCUGUCUACUUCAAUCCAGUAGUCCAAUGGUUUACAUGGUCUGGCAAGCCUCUGUGUAAAUACAGUAGGAACUAAGGCUUUUCCUCAAAAAGGGAAGAUGCUAUGGCUAAUUCACUGUAGGCAUAUUGCCUUGGGGUAAGACAGGAUCCAUCACACUUGCUGAUUUAGGACCUGUAAGAGUCAGGAGCCAGGAACUGGUGUAUCUCAAGGAUUGCCCUCCUACACUUCCAUGUACACCAUGUAAACUACCUGUGCUGGCUAUCUUAACUGAUUAGACUGAACACAUCACUGCAGCAGCCACAGACUUGUAAGAAAGAAAUAGUGCUGGAAGUUAACUUGAGAUGAGGGCUUACCUUUGGUGGAAAGAAAUCCUACCAUGUGUAUCUGCCUCACCAGUACAUGCCCAUCUCUGGCCGAAACUUAAGGAUUUUGUAUACAGUUUGAUCACAAUCAUCACCGUCAUCAGUUUGGAGCUUGAUGGUCCUUGAGGUCCCUUCCAAUCCAAGCAAUUCUAUGAUUCUGUGAUCAUAACCAGUCUAUGAUCCUUCAAAGUAUCUGGCAUUAAUAGGCCUCAGUGGUCAGGGAAACCACCCUGGCCUGUCCCUUUGAUGUCACAAUAUUAAAAAUAAGGUGGGCACAAUGCACAAAUCGCCAGAUAGCAUUGAGCUAGCAUACCCAGCCUCUUCCAUCCACAUGGGCUGCUGGGACCACAGGUGAUAAACAUGGCGUGCUGGUGGCAGACCACACUCUAUCAGCCCAGAAUCGUCCUGGAGGAGAAUGGUGCUCUGCAGUCGUUGCAGAGCACUUCUGAGAGCUACGCAAAAUACACCAGACACCAAGCUUCCUCUGGCUCCCUAAAACUUCUGCAUCUGAGCUCUCCCAGAAAUCAGCCCACAGUUUUCAAGACUUCUCUUUUGCCUGCAUAGAAAGCAAAGUAUAUAUCUCCAACAUACAUCUGCAUAAUUCGGAGCAAGCUGCGUUCAACCACUGUGCCUAAAGGAGACACCUCUUGUCAGCCAGCCCAAAAAUCUAUUUGAAGGCUGGUUUACUGGCUGACUAUGAGAAGGCUGAAGCAGAAAAAGUUUUUCCUUUUCUUUGUGUUUUCUUUUAAAGAACUUUUUUUCCUAAGCGAUGCUCAAAGAAACACCUACUCCUCCAUGCAAUAUUCUCCGUGGGAGGGG
ensembl:lncRNA